UUAAUUUUUUAUUUAUUGAAAAUUUUUUAUAUAGUCAUUGUAAUGGGCCAAAAUUGCCCGGCCCAAGACCCACAAACAAUAAACAAAAAAAGACCAAAACAGUCCAAUUUUUAAGCCUUGCCCAGCCCAAAUCACUAAAUAACAAACCCAAUACAAACCCAAACUAACCCAAAACCCUAAGCCCAAUCCUAUGGCCCAAAUUUUUUUUUCCCAGAAACAGCAAACCCUAGCACUUAGGCACUCCCUUUGGCCGGCGCCGCCUCCACCUUCACGCCACACCCGCAUUUCGCGCCUUCAUGUUCGCUCCACGUAGCCGUUACGCUCGCGCCUCCAUGCCUGCAAAAAAAAUGGGAAGCAGUACCAGAAAGUGCAACGAAAUAGGAGCAAGUUGUUUUGUUUUUUUUUCCUUUUCGGCUAUAAAGGCCGAAACAAAAUCAUUGUAAGGGGGGAUUGACUUUUGAAUACAAAAUACACAAAAGAGAAAUAGAGAGCAAGCCAAAAGAAUACUUUAAAGGUGGUUCUGUCGCUGUUAUAUGCUGUUUUUUUUUCCCUCUUUUAUUUUUUUAUUUUGAUUCAAAUCCACAACACACACAUAGUAUAAGAGGGAGUGAAAGAGGUUUACCGGAGUCGUACUCGGGAUAUCGAGGGGGUUAAAUACCUCGUUUACGUGGGUCGGGCCACCGUCUGCGGACAUGGUGUGUCGUAUCUCCGAUGGGAACGGCGCUGGCCGAAUGGGGAAGGAAAUGAGAAAAACAUUUUUUUAGUUUUAGGGUUUUUUCCAAAAACAAAGGUUAAAAUGUUUUAAAACAAUUUUUUUUUUGUUUAAAUAAAGCCCAAACGGCACUGUUUCAAUGCUGGCCGGCGCGCGCACCGACCCAACCCGGGGAGGAUCCACGCAUUUCUCUGCUUCGGGGAAUUUUUGAUAUUAAUCAUUCCCUUCUGCGAUGCUAUUCGAUUAGGUCUUUUUACCUCUUCUAAUUUUUCCUAGAAAUUUUAUGAAAGUUUCAUUUUGAUCCAUACUUAAACGCUGCGUUCAAGAACUUGGAAUAAUCGUUUUCGAUCCCCUCACACUUGCACACAUUACGCUUUAGACCCUAUUUCAAUUUCAAUGAUUUUUUUAUUUGUUAAUUGCCUC
rnacentral:lncRNA from 1 species